UGUGAUGUGUAUUAGGUUUGUGCAAAAGUAAUUGGGUUUUUCUGCCAUUAAAAGUAAUGACAAAACUGGCAAUUACUUUUGCACCAAACUAAUAUAA
ensembl:miRNA